CCGGUUGCACAAAGCACUCCUUACGUAAGUGGCGUGAAGAUACAUGAAAAGCCCCGGGCAAGUCAAAACAACCCUAAAUGGGCAGGGAUCCCAGAUGGACAAACACCGGGAACGUGGUUGUUCCGUAUCUUCCUGUAGCCUCUGUGGUUUGGAGGAGAAAGCGAUGGUCAUUUGAAUUGGUCUUCCCAAUAGGUAAUGCAUCCCUUUUCUCUCGGGUUCAAGAGAUCAUGGAGGGGGGUCUGCUGGGCAGAUUGUUUGCGAUGUGGCUGGGCAUCAUUUUUUUUGAGUUUAGCCUGUUUGGGAUUUGCUGAGUUUGUUAAAACUCUGCAUUUGUCUUUCCCCCAGUUUGGGACAUUUUCUGCUAUUAUCACUUCAACUAUUUUCCUGCACCAUUGUUUUCCCUCCUCUACCCUGUGACUCCUGUGGCAUGAACGGUGGACCUCUUGCUACCGUGCCACGAGUCCCUAAGCUUCUGUUCAUUUUCUUUUUCAGGCUGAGUUUUCCUCUGUUGCAUAGGUUGGAAAUUUUCUAUGGAUCUCUCUGUAAGCUCAGUCCCCUUUCCUGCCACUGUUGUCCUGCUACUAAGCCCACCUAAUGAUUUUUUUUUUUAAAUUUCAGAUAUUUUAUCUUUCAGUUCUAAAGUUUCUAUUAAGUUGUUUUUUGUAGUUUCUAUUUCUCUACAGAGAAUUUCUAUCUUUCCAUUCACUUCAAGUGUAUUUCCCUUUACCAUGUGGAGCAGAGUUAUAACAGGUGUGUCAGAAUCUUUAUCAGAUGAUUCCAGCAUUGGGGUCAUUUUGGGGGACAGGAGGGCUGUGGAUUGUCAUUCUCUUGAGCAUUUUUGUGGCUCCUUGUACGUCAAGUAAUUUUGGAUUCCUUGGAUUGCCCUGAAUAUUUUCAAUAUUAUGUUGUGUAGGCUCUGGGUCUUGUUAAAAAUCCCCUGGAAAAUGUUGACUUUCUUUUUUAUUUUACAGCUGCAAGCAAUGGGUCCAGCUGGGUCCAGACCACAGUUCUGUGUCACCCACUGUGGGCUGCGUUUUCCGCCUCAGUUCAGCUCUCGGGGCCUUUGCUGGGCUGUGCUGGGUUGUCUUCUCCAGCUCUUCUCUGUCCUGGAUUUCUCCCAACAGGACCCCUUUCCUGCUUCUUCUGUUCAGAAGGGCGGAGCCCCCUCAGAGUUGUAGCUGCUUGUACCCCCACUGCCGUGACGCCUGGAUGUGCAGUGGGCUCCCCACUCCUUCACCAAGACCAGAAGUCCACACUUGAAUGUCAUUGUCGCUGGUGUGGCUGGUACGAGAUUUUCAGGCUGUUAUUCCUCCAUUCCUACUGAUAGCAAGAAAUGUAAUCUUAAUCAAACCUGGGAAAAUUAUAUCAUUCAUAUCUUAAA